UGAGUUUGAUCCUGGCUCAGAACGAACGCUGGCGGCAGGCCUAACACAUGCAAGUCGAACGCUGUAGCAAUACAGAGUGGCAGACGGGUGAGUAACGCGUGGGAACGUGCCUUUCGGUUCGGAAUAACUCAGGGAAACUUGAGCUAAUACCGGAUACGCCCUUCGGGGGAAAGAUUUAUUGCCGAAAGAUCGGCCCGCGUCCGAUUAGCUAGUUGGUGAGGUAACGGCCCACCAAGGCGACGAUCGGUAGCUGGUCUGAGAGGAUGAUCAGCCACACUGGGACUGAGACACGGCCCAGACUCCUACGGGAGGCAGCAGUGGGGAAUAUUGGACAAUGGGCGCAAGCCUGAUCCAGCCAUGCCGCGUGAGUGAUGAAGGCCCUAGGGUUGUAAAGCUCUUUCGCCUGGGACGAUAAUGACGGUACCUGGAUAAGAAGCCCCGGCUAACUUCGUGCCAGCAGCCGCGGUAAUACGAAGGGGGCUAGCGUUGUUCGGAAUCACUGGGCGUAAAGCGCACGUAGGCGGAUCUUUAAGUCAGGGGUGAAAUCCCGAGGCUCAACCUCGGAACUGCCUUUGAUACUGGGGGUCUAGAGUCCGGGAGAGGUGAGUGGAACUGCGAGUGUAGAGGUGAAAUUCGUAGAUAUUCGCAAGAACACCAGUGGCGAAGGCA
rnacentral:rRNA from 1 species